rnacentral:lncRNA from 1 species
UGGAGACAGGUUUUUCCAAAGCUCCUCCCCUGGCUCAGGCAAACACACCUGACCUUUCUCUCGCUGGGCCCAGGGUGAGGCAGAGCAGCCAGGAACAAGGUGGGGUGAACCAGACAGAGCUGGAGUGCUCUCCCACCCCUGCUUUGUCCAGCCUCCCCGCCAAGCCCAUGAUUCCACGCAAGGUAAGGCCCUCCUCCCAGAGGAAGGGGCCAACAGCCUGGUGACCUUGGAGUGUGCUUCGCCUGGCACUCCCCUCACACCGCUCCCUACAGCUUGUACUCUGCCUCUGACUCUCUUCCAAGAACAAUUUGGCAAGUUCUAAUCUACAUCUUGCAAAAAAAACAAAAAACAAAAAACAGAGAGGUAGGAGGGCCACAGCACCUGGGGUCCCAGAAGGCAGACUGACCUAUUCCUACAGCAGGGGCCUGGGGGACCGAAGGCAGAAGCAAGAGCACACGUAGAGAAGGCACCGAGCAAGCGGAUCUGUGCGGUUCUUCGGUUCUAAACAACUUGCGGAAUCCAGGCGGACUCAGGGCCUGUGUGGCCACUGGGCAGGGAAGGUGGUGGUUCCCAGGCCCAUCGAAACCACAAGGAGCACUGGCUUCUGUCUCCUGCUAUAGCUUCAGGUGCCAGGUUCACUGGGGUCUUAGAAGUUGGGGCUGGAAGGAGGUGGGCCCAGAGGGUCCCACUCCUUAAGUGCUGGCUUCAAGAUGGAAGAUAUUAAGACGUUCCAGGGGUCGAUUCUUUUUUCAAGACCCUAAGAUGUUCCAGGCUUCUGUAGAGCAGGCACAGUCCUUCCCUCCAGGAAUUGUAUCAAUAAAGACACAAAACACUAGAGGCAGAAGUUGCACACGGGCAACCUCCACACAGAAUCUGCC